GACGAACGCUGGCGGCGUGCUUAACACAUGCAAGUCGAACGAAGCGAUUUAGCGGAAGUUUUCGGAUGGAAGUUAAAUUGACCGAGUGGCGGACGGGUGAGUAACGCGUGGGUAACCUGCCUCACACUGGGGGACAACAGUUAGAAAUGACUGCUAAUACCGCAUAAGCGCACAGGACCGCAUGGUCCGGUGUGAAAAACUCCGGUGGUGUGAGAUGGACCCGCGUUUGAUUUGCUAGUUGGUGGGGUAACGGCCUACCAAGGCGACGAUCAAGAGCCGACGGGAGAGGGGGACCGGCCACAUUGGGACUGAGACACGGCCCAAACUCCUACGGGAGGCAGCAGUGGGGAAUAUUGCACAAUGGGGGAAACCCUGAUGCAGCGACGCCGCGUGAGUGAAGAAGUAUUUCGGUAUGUAAAGCUCUAUCAGCAGGGAAGAAGAUGACGGUACCUGACUGAGAAGCCCCGGCUAACUACGUGCCAGCAGCCGCCGUAA
rnacentral:rRNA from 1 species